GGUGAUAGCCCCGUACGCGAAAAGACCUGUGUGGUACUGAGCUAACGACAAGUAGGGCGGGACACGUGUAAUCCUGUCUGAAUAUGGGGGGACCAUCCUCCAACGCUAAAUACUCAUCAUCGACCGAUAGUGAACUAGUACCGUGAGGGAAAGGCGAAAAGAACCCCGGGAGGGGAGUGAAAUAGAUCCUGAAACCGCAUGCUUACAAAAAGUAGGAGCCUCGCAAGGGGUGACUGCGUACCUUUUGUAUAAUGGGUCAGCGACUUACAUUCAGUGGCAAGCUUAACCGAAUAGGGAAGGCGUAGGGAAACCGAGUCCGAAUAGGGCGAUUCAGUCGCUGGGUGUAGACCCGAAACCAAGUGAUCUAUCCAUGGCCAGGAUGAAGGUGCCGUAACAGGUACUGGAGGUCCGAACCGACUAGUGUUGCAAAACUAGCGGAUGAGCUGUGGAUAGGGGUGAAAGGCUAAACAAACUUGGAAAUAGCUGGUUCUCUCCGAAAACUAUUUAGGUAGUGCCUCAAGUAUUACCGUCGGGGGUAGAGCACUGUUUUGGCUAGGGGGUCAUGGCGACUUACCAAACCAAGGCAAACUCCGAAUACCGACGAGUACAGCUUGGGAGACAGAGCACCGGGUGCUAACGUCCGGACUCAAGAGGGAAACAACCAGACCGCCAGCUAAGGUCCCUAAAAUUGGCUAAGUGGGAAACGAAGUGGGAAGGCUAAAACAGUCAGGAUGUUGGCUUAGAAGCAGCCAUCAUUUAAAGAAAGCGUAAUAGCUCACUGAUCGAGUCGUCCUGCGCGGAAGAUGUAACGGGGCUAAGCCAGUUACCGAAGCUGCGGAUUUGCAAUUUAUUGCAAGUGGUAGGAGAGCGUUCUGUAAGCCUGUGAAGGUGGUGGUGUAAACCCUGCUGGAGGUAUCAGAAGUGCGAAUGCUGACAUGAGUAGCGUUAAAGGGGGUGAAAAGCCCCCUCGCCGUAAGCGCAAGGUUUUCUACGCAACGUUCAUCGGCGUAGAGUGAGUCGGCCCCUAAGGCGAGGCAGAAAUGCGUAGUUGAUGGGAAACAGGUCAAUAUUCCUGUACCGAUGUGUAGUGCGAUGUGGGGACGGAGAAGGUUAGCUCAGCCAACUGUUGGAUAUGUUGGUUCAAGCCUGUAGUCGUGCCUGGUAGGUAAAUCCGCCGGGCUUAGAUGAGGGGUGAUAACGAGGAGGCUUGCCUCCGAAGUGAGUGAUACCCUGCUUCCAGGAAAAGCCACUAAGCUUCAGCUUCACACGACCGUACCGCAAACCGACACUGGUGCGCGAGAUGAGUAUUCUAAGGCGCUUGAGAGAACUCAGGAGAAGGAACUCGGCAAAUUGACACCGUAACUUCGGAAGAAGGUGUGCCUUUAGUAGGUGAACCUGUACAAGGGGAGCCCAAUGAGGUUGCAAAAAAUCGGUGGCUGCGACUGUUUAAUAAAAACACAGCACUCUGCAAACACGAAAGUGGACGUAUAGGGUGUGACGCCUGCCCGGUGCUGGAAGAUUAAAUGAUGGGGAGCAAGCUCUUGAUUGAAGUCCCAGUAAACGGCGGCCGUAACUAUAACGGUCCUAAGGUAGCGAAAUUCCUUGUCGGGUAAGUUCCGACCUGCACGAAUGGCGUAACGAUGGCCACACUGUCUCCUCCUGAGACUCAGCGAAGUUGAAAUGUUUGUGAUGAUGCAAUCUCCCCGCGGAAAGACGGAAAGACCCCAUGAACCUUUACUGUAGCUUUGUAUUGGACUUUGAACAGAUCUGUGUAGGAUAGGUGGGAGGCUUUGAAGUGUGGUCGCUAGAUCGCAUGGAGCCAACGUUGAAAUACCACCCUGGUGUGUUUGAGG
rnacentral:rRNA from 1 species